rnacentral:rRNA from 1 species
GUGCUAAUCUGCGAUAAGCGCCGGUAAGGUGAUAUGAACCGUUAUAACCGGCGAUACCCGAAUGGGGAAACCCAGUGUGACUCGUCACACUAUCAUUAACUGAAUCCAUAGGUUAAUGAGGCGAACCGGGGGAACUGAAACAUCUAAGUACCCCGAGGAAAAGAAAUCAACCGAGAUUCCCCCAGUAGCGGCGAGCGAACGGGGAGGAGCCCAGAGCCUGAAUCAGCAUGUGUGUUAGUGGAAGCGUCUGGAAAGGCGCGCGAUACAGGGUGACAGCCCCGUACACAAAAGCGCAUGUGCUGUGAGCUCGAUGAGUAGGGCGGGACACGUGGUAUCCUGUCUGAAUAUGGGGGGACCAUCCUCCAAGGCUAAAUACUCCUGACUGACCGAUAGUGAACCAGUACCGUGAGGGAAAGGCGAAAAGAACCCCGGCGAGGGGAGUGAAAAAGAACCUGAAACCGUGUACGUACAAGCAGUGGGAGCACCCUUUGGGUGUGACUGCGUACCUUUUGUAUAAUGGGUCAGCGACUUAUAUUCUGUAGCAAGGUUAACCGAAUAGGGGAGCCGGAGGGAAACCGAGUCUUAACCGGGCGUUAAGUUGCAGGGUAUAGACCCGAAACCCGGUGAUCUAGCCAUGGGCAGGUUGAAGGUUGGGUAACACUAACUGGAGGACCGAACCGACUAAUGUUGAAAAAUUAGCGGAUGACCUGUGGCUGGGGGUGAAAGGCCAAUCAAACCGGGAGAUAGCUGGUUCUCCCCGAAAGCUAUUUAGGUAGCGCCUCGUGAAUUCAUCUCCGGGGGUAGAGCACUGUUUCGGCUAGGGGGCCAUCCCGGCUUACCAACCCGAUGCAAACUGCGAAUACCGGAGAAUGUUAUCACGGGAGACACACGGCGGGUGCUAACGUCCGUCGUGAAGAGGGAAACAACCCAGACCGCCAGCUAAGGUCCCAAAGUCAUGGUUAAGUGGGAAACGAUGUGGGAAGGCCCAGACAGCCAGGAUGUUGGCUUAGAAGCAGCCAUCAUUUAAAGAAAGCGUAAUAGCUCACUGGUCGAGUCGGCCUGCGCGGAAGAUGUAACGGGGCUAAACCAUGCACCGAAGCUGCGGCAGCGACACUGUGUGUUGUUGGGUAGGGGAGCGUUCUGUAAGCCUGUGAAGGUGUGUCGUGAGGCAUGCUGGAGGUAUCAGAAGUGCGAAUGCUGACAUAAGUAACGAUAAAGCGGGUGAAAAGCCCGCUCGCCGGAAGACCAAGGGUUCCUGUCCAACGUUAAUCGGGGCAGGGUGAGUCGACCCCUAAGGCGAGGCCGAAAGGCGUAGUCGAUGGGAAACGGGUUAAUAUUCCCGUACUUGGUGUUACUGCGAAGGGGGGACGGAGAAGGCUAUGUUGGCCGGGCGACGGUUGUCCCGGUUUAAGCGUGUAGGUGUGUGUUCCAGGUAAAUCCGGUUCACUUUAACACUGAGGCGUGACGACGAGGCACUACGGUGCUGAAGCAACAAAUGCCCUGCUUCCAGGAAAAGCCUCUAAGCAUCAGGUAACAUCAAAUCGUACCCCAAACCGACACAGGUGGUCAGGUAGAGAAUACCAAGGCGCUUGAGAGAACUCGGGUGAAGGAACUAGGCAAAAUGGUGCCGUAACUUCGGGAGAAGGCACGCUGACACGUAGGUGAAGUGAUUUACUCAUGGAGCUGAAGUCAGUCGAAGAUACCAGCUGGCUGCAACUGUUUAUUAAAAACACAGCACUGUGCAAACACGAAAGUGGACGUAUACGGUGUGACGCCUGCCCGGUGCCGGAAGGUUAAUUGAUGGGGUCAGCGCAAGCGAAGCUCCUGAUCGAAGCCCCGGUAAACGGCGGCCGUAACUAUAACGGUCCUAAGGUAGCGAAAUUCCUUGUCGGGUAAGUUCCGACCUGCACGAAUGGCGUAAUGAUGGCCAGGCUGUCUCCACCCGAGACUCAGUGAAAUUGAACUCGCUGUGAAGAUGCAGUGUACCCGCGGCAAGACGGAAAGACCCCGUGAACCUUUACUAUAGCUUGACACUGAACAUUGAGCCUUGAUGUGUAGGAUAGGUGGGAGGCUUUGAAGUGUGGACGCCAGUCUGCAUGGAGCCGACCUUGAAAUACCACCCUUUAAUGUUUGAUGUUCUAACGUGGACCCGUUACCCGGGUUGCGGACAGUGUCUGGUGGGUAGUUUGACUGGGGCGGUCUCCUCCUAAAGAGUAACGGAGGAGCACGAAGGUUGGCUAAUCCUGGUCGGACAUCAGGAGGUUAGUGCAAUGGCAUAAGCCAGCUUGACUGCGAGCGUGACGGCGCGAGCAGGUGCGAAAGCAGGUCAUAGUGAUCCGGUGGUUCUGAAUGGAAGGGCCAUCGCUCAACGGAUAAAAGGUACUCCGGGGAUAACAGGCUGAUACCGCCCAAGAGUUCAUAUCGACGGCGGUGUUUGGCACCUCGAUGUCGGCUCAUCACAUCCUGGGGCUGAAGUAGGUCCCAAGGGUAUGGCUGUUCGCCAUUUAAAGUGGUACGCGAGCUGGGUUUAGAACGUCGUGAGACAGUUCGGUCCCUAUCUGCCGUGGGCGCUGGAGAACUGAGGGGGGCUGCUCCUAGUACGAGAGGACCGGAGUGGACGCAUCACUGGUGUUCGGGUUGUCAUGCCAAUGGCACUGCCCGGUAGCUAAAUGCGGAAGAGAUAAGUGCUGAAAGCAUCUAAGCACGAAACUUGCCCCGA